ACAGAUUCUCCCCCGGAACCUCCAGAGGGGAGACAGCCCUGCUGUCACCUUGAUUUUAAGCCAGUGAUGUUGAUUUCAGACUCUGGCCUCUGGAACUUCCUUUCAGAAAUUCUCUAGAGCCUGAAAAAGUCACCCUGCCGAGGAUCAACUUCUUCACCCCAGAACAAGGCAGAGCAGAAGGAUGGAUCUGAGUGCAAACAGGUCCAGGACCAGCACACCAUAUGCCGACCUUGAGAAGGAAAUUCACUGAGCCAUUCCUUACGAGUGUUCCCAGGAGAAACAGGAAAGUGAGAAGUCAAGUCAGUCCAAGAAGAAUAAAGAGGCCAAGCCCAGUUGCAUAUCAGCAAUCUCACAGAGAGAGCUGCCUCAGUCCCUUGAGGGUAAGUAGAUGACCUCAGAGUUGUCCCAUCAGUUGCUGCUUCAGAGCCACACUUUCAGCUCAUCCUUGCACUUCAUGCAAUCUGUGAGCCCCACAGGCAGAGCAGGUCCUGGCUGCCUGAGGUUAUUCCCUAUGAAAGAAGCAGAUCUAGGUUCCCACAGCAGUCUCUGCUGUAACUAAACAGAAGGCUUCAUUCAUGAUUGGAUUAAGGAUGGGGGAAGGGCAGGUGGCUAUGAAGGUUAUUACUUGGACCACAAGGACAAUUUUUAAAUGAGCUGUACAUUACAUAUUUAAUUUUAUUGUUGUUAAAUUUUGAGUGUGAUAAUUAUGUCACGCUUAUGUGGAAGAAUAUCCAUGUACUUAUAAGAUACAUACUGAAGUAUUUAGGACAAAAAUGCUGUGUCUAAAUUUAUUCUCUAAUAGCCUCACAAAAGAAAAGUAAUAUUGAUGUGUAUGUGUGAGUAUAUGAAUGUAUAUACACACAUACGUGUAUACAUAUACAUUUAGUAUGUUUAUGUAUACGUUUGUAGACAGAUUAAAAUAGAGGAAAAUAUGGAAAAAUGUAAACAAAU